rnacentral:rRNA from 1 species
AUUGAACGCUGGCGGCAGGCCUAACACAUGCAAGUCGAACGAGUGGCGGACGGGUGAGUAAUGUCUGGGAAACUGCCCGAUGGAGGGGGAUAACUACUGGAAACGGUAGCUAAUACCGCAUACCAUCGGAUGUGCCCAGAUGGGAUUAGCUAGUAGGUGGGGUAACGGCUCACCUAGGCGACGAUCCCUAGCUGGUCUGAGAGGAUGACCAGCCACACUGGAAUGGAGAGACGGGCCAGACUCCUACGGGAGGCAGCAGUGGGGAAUAUUGCACAAUGGGCGCAAGCCUGAUGCAGCCAUGCCGCGUGUAUGAAGAAGGCCCUCGGGUUGUAAAGUACUUUCAGCUGGGAGGCGUUACUGACAGAAGAAGCACCGGCUAACUCCGUGCCAGCAGCCGCGGUAAGAC